AGUGAACGCUGGCGGUAGGCCUAACACAUGCAAGUCGAACGGCAGCACAGUAAGAGCUUGCUCUUACGGGUGGCGAGUGGCGGACGGGUGAGGAAUACAUCGGAAUCUACUUUUUCGUGGGGGAUAACGUAGGGAAACUUACGCUAAUACCGCAUACGACCUACGGGUGAAAGCAGGGGAUCUUCGGACCUUGCGCGAUUGAAUGAGCCGAUGUCGGAUUAGCUAGUUGGCGGGGUAAAGGCCCACCAAGGCGACGAUCCGUAGCUGGUCUGAGAGGAUGAUCAGCCACACUGGAACUGAGACACGGUCCAGACUCCUACGGGAGGCAGCAGUGGGGAAUAUUGGACAAAGGGCGCAAGCCUGAUCCUGCCAUACCGCGUGGGUGAAGAAGGCCUUCGGGUUGUAAAGCCCUUUUGUUGGGAAAGAAAAGCAGCAGGUUAAUACCCCGCUGUUCUGACGGUACCCAAAGAAUAAGCACCGGCUAACUUCGUG
rnacentral:rRNA from 1 species